rnacentral:rRNA from 1 species
GGGGGGAAUAUUGGGCAAUGGGGGAAACCCUGACCCAGCGACGCCGCGUGGGUGAAGAAAUCCCUCGGGAUGUAAAGCCCUGUUGUAUGGGAAGAGCAGAAGACGGUACCAUACGAGGAAGCCCCGGCAAACUACGUGCCAGCGGCCGCGGUAAUACGUAGGGGGCAAGCGUUGUCCGGAAUUACUGGGCGUAAAGCGCACGCAGGCUGAAUUAUAAGUCGGUAGUCAAAUACGGAGGCUCAACUUCCGGAUAUCUAUCGAUACUGUAAAUCUAGAGUAUGUGAGAGGGAAGCGGAAUUCCCGGUGUAGCGGUGAAAUGCGUGGAUAUCGGGAGGAACACCAGUGGCGAAGGCGGCUUCCUGGCACAAUACUGACGCUCAUGUGCGAAAGCUAGGGCAGCGAACGGGAUUAGAUACCCUGGUAGUCC